UUUGUGCUGGAAGGGACCUUUAAAGCUCAUCUAUUCCAACCCCUCAGGCACUCCCGUUUGAUCUGGGGGUGGGUCUCUCUAGAGGGCCCACAGGAGCUUCAUCCGUUCAGUAGAGCAUCUGCCCAUGCUUCAUUAACUUGCCUGUGAAGAUGUUACGGGACAGAGUGUCGAAAUGAGGUGAUGCUCCAAAUUUGCUACAGUGAGGAAGGAAACUCUGUGCUCCAGCAACGAGGAUGCUCCAGU